rnacentral:rRNA from 1 species
AUACGUAGGGGGCGAGCGUUGUCCGGAAUGAUUGGGCGUAAAGGGCGCGUAGGCGGCCCGGUAAGUCUGGAGUGAAAGUCCUGUUUUUAAGAUGGGAAUUGCUUUGGAUACUGUCGGGCUUGAGUGCAGGAGAGGUAAGUGGAAUUCCCAGUGUAGCGGUGAAAUGCGUAGAGAUUGGGAGGAACACCAGUGGCGAAGGCGACUUACUGGACUGUAACUGACGCUGAGGCGCGAAAGUGUGGGGAGCAAACAGGAUUAGAUACCCUGGUAGUCCACACUGUAAACGAUGAAUGCUAGGUGUAGGAGGUAUCGACCCCUUCUGUGCCGCAGUAAACACAAUAAGCAUUCCGCCUGGGGAGUACGGCCGCAAGGUUGAAACUCAAAGGAAUUGGCGGGG